CAAAGUUGGUUGGUGUUUUUUUAAAUUUUUUUUUGUGUGCAACAUUUGAAUUUUAAAGUGCGGAAUUCACGCCCAGUGCGCCACGCCCACAACACCAUCGUGUCGUUUUGUACUAUGCAUGUGUUCAUUGUUGUGUCGCCGCGUGACAACGCCACUUUGAUUCGCCAUUGAAAUUGGAAUCCGCUUAUUCUGCCGACGCGCCGCGCCAAAAAAUAAAUAAAUACCAAUAUAGUGAGUGAAGAACGUUUCGUUGUGUGUUUGUGUGUGUGUGUGUGUGUGUAUGUGUGCAGAGCAUACAAAAUAAAAGCAAAACAAUAUUUUCCUAAUUUUCGCGCGCGCACGCGACCAAAGAAAAUCCAACAAAAAAAAAAAAAAAGAUGAAGAAAAAAGAAAGCCCAAAAGCAAAGAAAACUGUCAGCAACAGGCGGACGACGCUGUCAACUGAAGCGCAGCAGGAGCUCCACUCUCGCCUCAGAAGUGCGAGCGAGAAGGGAGAGUAGUAGCUCCACGAACUUGAGAUCAUAUGGUGUGGGUUUGCAAUGUUUCCUUUACCUUUUUUGCGUUCAUCGUGACCGUUUUGCUAUGCUUAACACCUCGUAAAUCUUCAUAACCUGGGCCGCAGAAGAAGCAGAAGGAGCAACUACGCGCUGUCGCUUAUUGAAUCAGCUGCCUUUUGUCUAGAAGCCUUUAAACCAUUUUAGGCUUUUGUAAAUUUACCGCAAUUCUCACCCAAAAAUGCCGCAACGAAAUUCAAAGCUGAAACUCUCUCGUUCUCGUUCUGGGUUUUCGCUCUGGCCAUGCCCAUUAACGUUGGCAAUUAGCGUGCACCUUGGCGUCGCCUGCUUUUGGGACAGUCAGGAAGUUGAAGACAUUUCCGUUAUGAAUACUGCGUAGCGAGAUAGAGCGGAAGAGCGGCAAAGAAGCAUAUUGCCACGGACGGAGAAGAAGGAGGAGGAGGAGGUGGUGCCCCACAACCGGAGCCACAACAAACGCCGGAAUGCCAAACUUUUGCCUUUGAUGGCAAAAAAAAAAACCAAGCGAAAAGGACGCAAUCAGGCAGCACACAGUGGUAAGAACAUCCAAAUGCACAUCCAAAAACGUAAGAAAUACACAUCCAAAUUGUAAUAUUAUAAACAAAAAAGAAAAUGUAUGUAUAAAAAGGCACAUCCAAAUUAUUGUAAUGUUACAAACAAACAAAAAACAACAAAACGUAUCUAAAGAAAACGUAUUUAAC